UGACAGAUGCCUGGUAGAAAGUGCAUCUUUUUCAUCUUUAUUAAGAAUGAUAUCCAAACAUGAAAAUAUGUAAGAUCUGGUUAGGAGCAGGGUGAUCAUACAUCCCAGUUUGUCUGGGACAGUCCUGAUUUACAUCUGUUGUCCUGGUGAAAUUACUAAUGCUCCCUUUUCAUCUCAAUGUCCUGAUUUGGAUGAAUACAAUUACAUGGUCACCUUAGUAAUAAGGGCAAUGAAAAUAAGUGUGGCAUUAUUAAAAAAAAGAGCAUCUAUAUUUUAAAAGAAUUGAUCAUUUCUAGGCUCAGAUAAAAAACAAAAUCCCAACGUUAGUGGGAACGUAUACAUGCA
rnacentral:lncRNA from 10 species